rnacentral:rRNA from 1 species
UACGUAGGGGGCUAGCGUUGUCCGGAAUCAUUGGGCGUAAAGAGCGUGUAAGCGGUCCGGUAAGUCCGCUGUGAAAGUCGGGGGCUCAACCCUCGAAUGCCGGUGGAUACUGUCGGGCUAGAGUGCGGAAGAGGCGAGUGGAAUUCCUGGUGUAGCGGUGAAAUGCGCAGAUAUCAGGAGGAACACCUAUUGCGAAGGCAGCUCGCUGGGACGUUACUGACGCUGAGACGCGAAAAGCGUGGGGAGCAAACAGG